ncrna:unclassified sequences IMES-2 RNA motif
AAAUGAAUUAAGAGGCAACUCUUAACUGACCGACUAAGGAAAAAUCGAGAGAUUCAAGCUUAGGGGGCAGAAAACUCUGCGGAGUAGCGCUAAAAUCGUAGGGUGGAAGGCAUGGCGGUAGCGCAUACAACGACGUGCCAA